UAGAUUUGAGCUUUACAAAACAGCUAGCAUGAUUGGGGUGAGCCUGCCGUCUUCGCACCGGUUUCUUGUCAGGAAUCCGAAUAGCGUCUUGGCAUGCUCCGCCAACCCUGGAGAGGCUAAGCUGUCAUAGGGCUGUAGAAGAUAGCUUCUUCAAACCUCAGAUUCUGGUAGUCAUGCUCCUUGUCCGGGAACGUAGUGGAUGUGCUGCAAAGGGCAGAAACCACGCCGUCGGUCAUCAACAGCAGCUGUAAAACAAGUUUCUCGGUCUUUCCUUUUCUGCCAUAUUGUAUCUCGCGGCUCCCAUCUAUUCCUCUAUCCAACCAUCCACCACGCAACUUGCCCGCCGACCUUCGCCCCUAAUCAUCCCAACCUUCCCGAUACGGCGCACUGCAAGAUUAGUGGAUCAAUAACUCCGUGGAGAGCUUUGUGCGCGACACGUUCGGUGAUGCGGUCUGGACAUCCGUACUGACGGCCGCUGGUGUCAGCGACAGCGGCGGAUGGGUGUCUUCCUGCCCAUACCCGGAUAGCGAAACCUACAAGCUCGUAGUCACGGCCUCCAACAUGCUGGGCGUGACACCCGCACAGGCGCUCGAGGCGUACGGCGUCUACUUUGUCGAUUACGUGACAAAGCAGGUCAGUCAGUCAAUCAACCUGCCAGCUUCACACAACCAACCCGCUGUCCUGAGUCUCCAGGGGCUUCACCACCCUGCAACUGCUAUAACACGCCAUUUUCCUUGCAUGUGCAUUCGCAUUCGCAUUCGCAUUCACAUUCACAUUCUAUAUAUUGAAGUGUUACAGAGUG
rnacentral:lncRNA from 1 species